UGCGCUCCCACUGGUAUUCUGGACGCACUAACAAAUUGGGGAAAUCAAGCUCGAGAUGCAAUUCUUACCGAACUAAAUACGGGUAACGCGACUCGAUCGUUUAGAGUGACACUUGAAGAGAAAAUACGUGAAGGCGCGACCACUAUAAAAGAAGCAUUCGACGACGUGAAGGAUAUCGGAGAGAUGUGGAUAGAUAGCCUGCUGGAGAAAAUCAAAACGAGCGGUCAAUUAGAAGCAAUAAAGCAAACCGCUCAGCAGUGGAAAGAGAUCGCCAAGGAGGAACUAGCCGAGCUGGGUAGCGCGUCGGUUGAUGCCACUGAAGAAUGGCGCGCCGCUGCCAGGCGAAGCUCCUAGAGUGGAAAAAGCGCCGUCGAACCAGAGUUAAAAGAUUGGCAGAUAAAGCUGAGAUGCUCGGCAACGUAGCGGACGAGUCCGUAACCGAGCUGAGGGGCUUCAUUAGUGACGCAAUCGACAACUGGACGAAAUACAAUCGAAUGUUGCUAGACAGCUUGCACCGACAUCAGCUACAACCACCACGUACAGAUUUGCUGCGACGGCAACGUAUACUCCAAGUUUGGCUUCCUGGCCAUUCACGCGUGCUGCGGAGAGUACUUGUUUGACAUCUUCUCUCAGCAAUGCUGCUACGGACGUGUUCUCAAGGAAGAUCAAGUGUGCAACAAUCCUGGUCAGAUUGAGCAAGCUUCCACACGCAGCCCGACAUACGUCCUUCGAGCCGUGAACAGUCCCACGAAUUUCAAUGCGACAGUUUAGCUAGGCUUAGCUUCUUUUUUU